UGUCGACAGCUCAAUGGUUAAGGCGCUAUCGCUUACUUCCGGUCUACUUCCGGAAAAUUUACAUUAAACUAGCAAGUGAGCUUUAUUCUCUGUACACUUCUAAGGAUUGCAUGCUAAUUUAAGCAAAGAGAAAUGGUCUUUUUGAUUACUUUUAUGACUUGUACUAUCUAAGGCCAGUCCUUUAGAUAUUGAGUUUUGAACGUGUCAAAUAGAUGGCGUGAAAGAAUGUUGUUUGUUGUGUCACAAAUGGGCUAAUGGCGGUUCGUUGUCAAAAGUUCAGCUACAGCUAUCUUCUUCGAAAAUUACCAAUGAAUUCGUUGGAAAAAAUGUGAAAGGUACAGAACCCAGUACUGUCAACUAUUGUGUUAAAAAUACUGGUAGGCCUAUCCUACAGAAUAUGUCAUCCAAAUGACAGAGUGGAUUCAUCACUAUUAUCGGCUGAAUCAUUCUAUGGGACUUGCCAGAUCACCAACCUUAGCAUGGACCAAUGUAUUUAAAGUUUUAGGUUUCUAAUGUAGCAUGAAAGACUUUAUGAGAAGUCAUGUUGUUUGAAGAAAAAGGACUAUAUACAGUUGACAAGGUUCUAUGCUAACCUGUUGGCUGCUACCCUUGAAUCUCCCUGUUUACUUCCUUACACGGGUCCUCUUGAUUUGAGGGUAACUCUUUCGCUACUGAUCACAUCCACUGUUGUAAACUGAUGAGAGAAUGCUGCAAUUCAAGAAUGAUGUAGUUGGUAGAUAAAUGACAAGCGCAUAUCUGGGCUCCCUUCUUUUCUGUGGCCCCGUUUCCCUAACUAACCACUAACCAACGCCCGCCGGUUGUCACUCACCCGCUGUGAAACCAGGA